GUGCUGAGAUCUGGAUAUAUAAAGAUGAGAUAAGACUCUACAGGAAAUUGGCAACUGAUGAAGGGAAGUGUAUCAGUCCGUUUUCAUGCUGCUGAUAAAGACACACCCGAGACUGGGAAGAAAAAGAGGUUUAAUGGACUUACACUUCGACAUGGCUGGGGAGGCCUCACAAUCGUGGUAGAAGGCAAGGAGGAGCAAGUCACAUCUUACGUGGAUGGUGGUGGGCAAAAGAGAGAGAGCUUGUGCAGGGGAACUCCUCUUUUUAAAAGUAUCAGAUCUCGUGAGAUUUAUUCACUAUUAUGACAACAGCAGAAGACAGACCUGCCCCCAUGAUUCAAUUACCUCCCACUGAGUGCCUCCCUCAACAUGUGGGAAUUACGAGUUAUACUUCAAGAUGAUUU
rnacentral:lncRNA from 10 species